rnacentral:rRNA from 1 species
CAGCAGCCACGGUAAUACGGAGGGUGCAAGCGUUAAUCGGAAUUACUGGGCGUAAAGCGCACGCAGGCGGUCUGACAAGUCAGAUGUGAAAUCCCCGGGCUUAACCUGGGAACUGCAUUUGAAACUGUCAGGCUGGAGUCUUGUAGAGGGGGGUGGAAUUCCAGGUGUAGCGGUGAAAUGCGUAGAGAUCUGGAGGAAUACCGGUGGCGAAGGCGGCCCCCUGGACAAAGACUGACGCUCAGGUGCGAAAGCGUGGGGAGCAAACAGGAUUAGAGACCCCUGUAGUCCCUGUCUCUUAUAC